AUAAACGCUGGCGACGCACAUAAGACAUGCAAGUCGAACGAACUUAACCAUUAGUUUACUAUUGGAGCGGUUAGUGGCGGACUGGUGAGUAACACGUAAGCAACCUGCCUGUUAGAGGGGAACAACAGUUAGAAAUGACUGCUAAUACCGCAUAUGCCAUAGUAAGGACAUCCUUACAGUGGGAAAGGAGUAAUCCGCUAACAGAUGGGCUUGCGUCUGAUUAGAUAGUUGGUGGGGUAACGGCCUACCAAGUCAACGAUCAGUAGCCGGACUGAGAGGUUGAACGGCCACAUUGGGACUGAGAUACGGCCCAGACUCCUACGGGAGGCAGCAGUCGGGAAUAUUGCGCAAUGGAGGAAACUCUGACGCAGUGACGCCGCGUGCAGGAAGAAGGUUUUCGGAUUGUAAACUGCUUUAGACAGGGAAGAAAAAAGACAGUACCUGUAGAAUAAGCUCCGGCUAACUACGUGCCAGCAGCCGCGGUAAUACGUAGGGAGCAAGCGUUAUCCGGAUUUAUUGGGUGUAAAGGGUGCGUAGACGGGAAAAUAAGUUAGUUGUGAAAUCCCUCGGCUUAACUGAGGAACUGCAACUAAAACUGUUUUUCUUGAGUGCUGGAGAGGAAAGUGGAAUUCCUAGUGUAGCGGUGAAAUGCGUAGAUAUUAGGAGGAACACCAGUGGCGAAGGCGACUUUCUGGACAGUAACUGACGUUGAGGCACGAAAGUGUGGGGAGCAAACAGGAUUAGAUACCCUGGUAGUCCACACCGUAAACGAUGGAUACUAGGUGUAGGGGAUGAAUAAUCUUCUGUGCCGUCGCAAACGCAGUAAGUAUCCCACCUGGGGAGUACGGCCGCAAGGUUGAAACUCAAAGGAAUUGACGGGGGCCCGCACAAGCAGUGGAGUAUGUGGUUUAAUUCGACGCAACGCGAAGAACCUUACCAGGGCUUGACAUAUAGAGGAAUAUAUAAGAGAUUAUAUAGCUCUUCGGAGUCUCUAUACAGGUGGUGCAUGGUUGUCGUCAGCUCGUGUCGUGAGAUGUUGGGUUAAGUCCCGCAACGAGCGCAACCCCUAUUCUUAGUUGCCAGCACGUUAAGGUGGGAACUCUAAGAAGACUGCCGGUGAUAAAUCGGAGGAAGGUGGGGACGACGUCAAAUCAUCAUGCCCUUUAUGUCCUGGGCUACACACGUACUACAAUGGCUGUAACAGAGGGAAGCGAAACCGCGAGGUGGAGCAAAACCCAAAAAAGCAGUCUCAGUUCGGAUUGAAGGCUGAAAUUCGCCUUCAUGAAGCCGGAAUUGCUAGUAAUGGCAGGUCAGCAUACUGCCGUGAAUACGUUCCCGGGCCUUGUACACACCGCCCGUCACACCAUGAGAGUUGGGAAUACCCGAAGCCUGUGAGCUAACUGUAAAGAGGCAGCAGUCGAAGGUAGAAUCAAUGAUUGGGGUG
rnacentral:rRNA from 1 species